rnacentral:lncRNA from 1 species
AUGAGUCAGCCGGUGCUGUCACACACACGCGCGCGAAAGCAAGCAGCCUUCACCAACCUGGGUAAGCACCCACGCCGCGCUCUCUCCCCCUGCGCGUCCCGCCGCGGCGCGAGCGCCGGGGACUCCCCCUUCCCUCUGCGACGCGCCCGCGCGCUCCGCUCCGCACUCACCGCGCGGCGGCCGGCCUGGCGGGGCGCGCGCCGGGGUAACGGUCAGCGGCGGCGAGCUGCGAGCUCGGGCGAGGAGGUGAGCGCCGGCCACGGGGACGCGAGCUUCUCGGCUUGUUACAAACAAGGUCACGUGAACAGAGCCCUGAUUAAUGUCUCCUAAAGCUGCUGUGGAGAUUACUGACAAGUCCUGCUGAGUCCAACAAUCAGAACUGAAAGAGGAAGCAGCCAGGCAACCAGGGCAGAUGGACAAGAUUAUCAAGCUGGACAGAGUGCAGACACCACAGUGCUGGACCCUCUGUCUGCUUCUCAAAAAAUAAAGCUUUAUAAGAUGGUUAGUAAGUCUCCCUA